CGGCAACUCUCCAACUGACAGCUGCAACACUGCGUCUCUUGCUGCUGUUUUCACCGUUUUCAGGAGUAACACUUCUACAACAGAAGAGAAGCUCCAAGAUAUCUAAAUUUCUGAAGGAAGCUGCUGACAGAGAUGUGGGAAACAUAGGUUGUCCAUCCCAGUGUUGCUACAGCUUGGAUCCAGCCUCACUUGUGGUUACUUCAGAUGAUGUCAACACUCAUGAAGACCCCAGAUGAUGGCAACUAGUGUUGUCACGGUACCAAAAUUUCAGUAUUCGGUACCGAUACAAGUCAAAAUCCACGGUUCUCGGUACCAAUUUCGGUACCACAUGCUAAUUAAAAAACACAUUAUUUUUAAUAAUAAAGUCAAACAAAAAUAAAAUGUGCAAAAAUCAAUGCCAUUCUUUAUACUUAUAAAAAAAAGUAUGAAAAACAGUAAACAGUAAAGUUUCACCCAAAUUGAAUUAAUUAAUUAAUUAAUUAAUGAAAUUUAAACACAUUUUAUUUUUUUGCUAAAUAAAGGGGAUUUACUAUUAAAAUUAAAAUAUGGAAGAAAUAUUGUGUGAUUAUUUCUUUAAAAAUAAAUAUAAUUUUUUUUCAACAGUAGUAAGAGUAUCACAUACAUUCUACUAAAUAAUAGUAAUAUAUUUCUGGCACAAUGUCUUUAAGAUAAACUUUUAUUUUGACGAGUUGCCGUGAAUAGGCCUACCUUUACAUUUCUGUGUGUAGCUUAUGAUCACAGUUGCCAAGUCCGCGUAUUAUACGCGACUUUGGGCUUCUUUUUUUGUAAAGUUGCGGGGAAAAAUCCCUGGUCGCGGGUUGCGGUUUUUUGGGCUUAUUUUAAAAAAUAUGGUCGCUUGUUAGGGAAAUCUGACAAGCAACUUCGUUUUCUUUAUUUAUGUUCGCCUGUAUUCUCCAAUGCAUUGAUUGACACUCUGUCUGCUCGCAGUUAAUAGCCAACAAUAAUAUAAGUGCUGUAGCGUAAUUUGCCAUAUGUUCCGUCCCUCAUUGGAGAAAAAUCACAUUCAAAAAGAAGGCGUGUGACGCUGUGAUGUAGACUUAGAGGAGUGGGAUGACUUUCUUUUAGCCUAAGUUUUACAAUGUUUUGUAAUGUAUUAAUUAUCACGGGCUGUAAUAAAAAACAAGUAGCCAUAUCCUAAUUCUGAGUAAAUACAUUUGGUUCGAAUAGUCUGGUAUAGCAAGAUGUCUUAAAAUGUAUUUCUUUUUUUUAACAUUUAAACCACAUUAUUAGAUUACCUUUUGACUUCACGAAUACACAUAAA